rnacentral:rRNA from 1 species
GACGAACGCUGGCGGCGUGCUUAACACAUGCAAGUCGAACGGAAAGGCCCUGCUUUUGUGGGGUGCUCGAGUGGCGAACGGGUGAGUAACACGUGAGUAACCUGCCCUUGACUUUGGGAUAACUUCAGGAAACUGGGGCUAAUACCGGAUAGGAGCUCCUGCUGCAUGGUGGGGGUUGGAAAGUUUCGGCGGUUGGGGAUGGACUCGCGGCUUAUCAGCUUGUUGGUGGGGUAGUGGCUUACCAAGGCUUUGACGGGUAGCCGGCCUGAGAGGGUGACCGGCGACAUUGGGACUGAGAUGAGGCCCAGACGCCUACGGGAGGCAGCAGUGGGGAAUAGUGCAAAAUGGGCGGAAGCCUGAUGCAGCAACGCCGCGUGCGGGAUGACGGCCUUCGGGUUGUAAACCGCUUUCGCCUGUGACGAAGAGUGAGUGACGGUAAUGGGUAAAGAAGCAACGGCUAACUACGUG